AUUGAACGCUGGCGGCAGGCCUAACACAUGCAAGUCGAACGAGUGGCGGACGGGUUAGUAAUGUCUGGGAAACUGGCUGAUGGAGGGGGAUAACUACUGGAAACGGUAGCUAAUACCGCAUACCAUCAGAUGUGCCCAGACGGGAGUUGCUUGUUGGCGGGGUAACGGCACACCAAGGCGACGAUCCCUAGCGGGGCGGAGAGGAUGACCAGCCAAACUGGAACUGAGACACGGUCCAGACUCCUACGGGAGGCAGCAUGGGGGAAUAUUGCACAAUGGGCGCAAGCCGGAUGCAGCCAUGCCGCGGGUAUGAAGAGGUCCUUCGGGUUGUAAAGUACUUUCAGCGGGGCGGCGUUACCCGCAGAAGAAGCACCGGCUAACUCCGUGCCAGCAGCCGCGGUAAUAC
rnacentral:rRNA from 1 species